rnacentral:tRNA from 1 species
GCCGGCGUAGCUCAAUCGGCAGAGCAAUCGCCUUGUAAGCGAUAGGUCAGGGGUUCGAUUCCCCUCGCCGGCU